rnacentral:rRNA from 1 species
GAAUAUUGCGCAAUGGAGGAAACUCUGACGCAGCGACGCCGCGUGAGCGAUGAAGGUCUUCGGAUCGUACAGCUCUGUCCUUGGGGAAGAAGGUCUUCGGACUUGACGGUACCCAUGGAGGAAGCCCCGGCUAACUCCGUGCCAGCAGCCGCGGUAAUACGGAGGGGGCAAGCGUUGUCCGGAAUUAUUGGGCGUAAAGGGUGCGUAGGCGGCCUUUUAAGUCAGAUGUGAAAGCCCAUGGCUCAACCGUGGGAUUGCAUUUGAAACUGGAGGGCUUGAGUAUCGGAGAGGGUAGUGGAAUUCCCAGUGUAGCGGUGAAAUGCGUAGAUAUUGGGAGGAACACCAGUGGCGAAGGCGACUACCUGGACGAUUACUGACGCUGAUGCACGAAAGCGUGGGGAGCAAAC